GGGAAACCCUGGCCUGCAGCCAUCACCUGUCAUUUCUGAACCACUUUCUUUUCUUGAUAUGCCUGGAUGAGGAUCAGGUAGUGGCUCCUCCUCUGUGAAGGCAAGGUGUCACUGCGUUCACUUUUUAGAGGAUCACCAUCAGAGACCUGCUUUUUAAGAUCCUCAGAUUAUAGCAUAACCCAUUUUGCUAUGUGAUAGACCUUGGGCAUCAUGUGCAGGACACCUGACAAAUCCCUGUGCUUAAUGUUGGAACAAGGGUUCAGACAUUGGGUUUUAUUAGGUAGUGGUUAGUAAGGAGCACUGAAAUGUGAACCAAUAAUGGCAGGACCACAGGGUUUCUUUGAGUUGCUGCAGAACUUGCAGAACAACAACAGGUGUACUAACUGAAAAUAAACAGGUAGAAACAAAGGGAGCCAAUUAAGAAAUAUGUCAUGAAAGAAAGAUGAACUGGGCUAACUCCUGGCAGGGUCUGCUAAGGUCAUGGUAAAGUUAGGAUUUAUGGCCAUAGGUUUCUCAGUGUGUAUCAGAAGGGAAAUUUCACUAAUAGUGCCUGGUCAUCAACCCCUGCACCCACAUUAACAUGGAAUUGACUUGUAGAGGAAGCCCCCCCUGAACAGGAUGGCUAGCAUGACAGUUGCAGAGAGGACCAUCUGGGGUCAGAAACUCCCUGCCCCCAUGUGAAGGAGGAGAUAAACAUCUGAUGGGAGAAGACUAGAAAGUAGAGCCCAGUUCUCCUGGCAAACAUCCAACAAACAGCAAUCCAUUUGGAAGCAACAUUGUUUCCUUUGUUGUUUUCUGCUAGGAGAUGACCCACUCUCUGGGAUGGAGAGUGCUUUUUGCUUGAGCCUCACUUUCACUGAUAGUAAAAGUUCUCUUGAUUGACUUUUGGUGUCUGACUUUAAAUUUUCUUUUCAUUGGGAUAAGAACCAAGGUUUGGAGCUUGAGCUUCCCCCUCUUUGGAGACAGUCAGGUUGAAAGGGACUUGGGAAUCUUCUAGUUACAGCCCAGCUGAGUCUUGAGUGUGGCCUGGUAUAGUCAGGUUUCAGUUGGAGGGUUUUGCUGGCCGGAUCUGUGAUCUGCUAUUGGUGGAACUGGAAGUAUCUCUCUUCUAUGAGUCAUGUUCUUUCCACGGAUGGUUUAUGUUUUGGCCACCACUUACAGAGACUGUGUUAUAUUUAUGAAUACCUUUCUUCUCUCUUUUAAAAUCAAAAAGUGUUCCUUGUGAUCUCUCCCUCCAUUUUUCAUUAUUAGUUAGCAACAGGGUUGUUUUCCUCAUAAUAUUGUCUGAAUUCAGUGAUCACUGUUACUACGACUACUACCUCUGACUAAUAAGCAUAUAUUUAGAAAAUUUCAGCAAGAAAACACUACCUGCUAAUACGAGAAUUAUUCUUAAAGUUUAUCCUUGAACAGUGCUCAGAUGGUCAGUCCUGUGCCUUACCCCCUUUCCUCUUUAUAAUUGCUGGAGCCUGAGGCCCCGAAGUGACUUGCUAAAAGGAGCAUAACUGAGUGACAGCUGAGCCCUAGUGAGGAAUCAGAUGAAGGUAUUUGAGAUAGCUGCUGUGGGUGCUUCUUUCUAGAUCUUGUUGCUGUUGGAGAGAUCAUUUUCCCACUGUGGGCAUUUUUUCCUUUAGUGGAUUUUCCAGGUACUUUAUAUUCAGCUGGUUUCUCUCUCCCUCCUCCCUUUUCUUUUCCUUCAACUGCCUUUUAGCCAUAUAGGGGAAUGAGAAGGGCCUGAUCAAAUCGACAACCUUUCAAAAACACUUUAUAUACCUCCUGAUAAAUGUUAACAUGCCUAACAUGGGGAGAAAUUGAAAUGUUAACCAAAAUGGAAUUUGAGAUGAUAGAGUUCAUGUUUUAUGUUCAUGUUUUGUGGCUGUUCUUUAUUACCUACUCCUAGAUAAGCAGGAGUUGAAUGUCUUGUGUCCUAAUUUUCAUUGUGUCACAGUUACUACAAUAAGAUCACUCAAUUCCAUGGAGUAUGUCCAACCACAGAAUAGCCAUCGUCAUUUGCUUUCUUUUUAUCUAUCAGCAAAUGGAUAUUUAAAGUGCUUCCCUUUUUAAAUAAGAAGAUACAUGUAAAUGAUCUUGAAUAGUGCCUGGAAGAGUAAUUAUUUAAUAACUGUCCUAAUCAUGAACCUGAAUAAGGAAGUUUUCAUUAAAAACAAAUAAUUGUGUUUGUGUAUAAAUUGUGUCAGUGAAGUUGAGGAAUAAGAAUUAAACAUAGCGAACGAUUUUAUUUAGUACUUCUGUAGCAACAUUGUCUCUUAGAUCAUUCUUAAGACUUUAAGAAUGAAACCACAAUGAAAAGCUGUUUUUCAAUAAAAACUUGGGACUGCUAUAUUUUCUGUGACAACAAGAGCCCAGUAAACUUUGUAAUGACUUCAAAUAAAUAAGAUUAAAAGGCCAGCUUCAUUUCCCCAGUCUUUAUUGAUGUACCUUGCUUAUUUUAAUGUUUUUGAGUAUUUUUUAUCAUAAUGUUAAUAAUGGUUUCACAUGAAUUCAUACCAAUAUGCAUAAAAUCUCAUUGUGUUCAAAGUAGUUUGUGGGUCUUUUCUGUUU
rnacentral:lncRNA from 1 species